rnacentral:tRNA from 1 species
GUCACGGUAGCUCAGUAUGGUCUAGAGCGCUCGGCUUUUAACCGAGUGGUCGGGGGUUCAAAUCCCCCUCGUGAUA